GAUGAACGCUGGCGGCGUGCCUAAUACAUGCAAGUCGAGCGAACAGACGAGGAGCUUGCUCCUCUGACGUUAGCGGCGGACGGGUGAGUAACACGUGGAUAACCUACCUAUAAGACUGGGAUAACUUCGGGAAACCGGAGCUAAUACCGGAUAAUAUAUUGAACCGCAUGGCUCAAUAGUGAAAGACGGUUUUGCUGUCACUUAUAGAUGGAUCCGCGCCGCAUUAGCUAGUUGGUAAGGUAACGGCUUACCAAGGCAACGAUGCGUAGCCGACCUGAGAGGGUGAUCGGCCACACUGGAACUGAGACACGGUCCAGACUCCUACGGGAGGCAGCAGUAGGGAAUCUUCCGCAAAGGGCGAAAGCUUGACGGAGCAACGCCGCGUGAGUGAUGAAGGUCUUCGGAUCGUAAAACUCUGUUAUUAGGGAAGAACAAAUGUGUAAGUAACUAUGCACGUCUUGACGGUACCUAAUCAGAAAGCCACGGCUAACUACGUG
rnacentral:rRNA from 1 species